UUUUUUUCUCUAACUUUCUUUUGUUUUUUAAUAAGAGUUCAUGUAUUUAGAUUCUUAUUUCUAAUGAAAGUUUUAAAAAAAAAACUCCCUCCAUUGAUGAUAUAAAUAAAGAAGUAAAAAAUGAAAUAAUUCACAAUUAAAAAACACGCCAUUUUCAUCGUCUUCCACUUCCACUUACCCUCACCAGUCACCACACUAUCACCCUUUUUAAACCUUACCCUAACCGAACACAGAAAGAGAAACAAACAGAGCCAUGAAACUUCUCCUCAUCCUCCUCCUUCUCCUCCACAUUUCACACUCCUUCGCCGCCGUUCAUCAACUCUCCGAGCUCCGUGCUCUUCUCUCACUCAAAUCCUCCCUCACCAGCAACGAAAAUGACCAACAACACUCGCCUCUCGCCUCAUGGGACCUCUCCACAAGCUUCUGCCUAUGGACAGGAGUCACGUGCGACGCCUCUCUCCGUCACGUGAUCUCCCUCGACUUAUCCGGCCUCAACCUCUCGGGGACUCUCCCCUCCUCCGUAGCUCACUUACCUCUCUUGCGAAACCUCUCCCUCGCCGCUAACCAGAUCUCGGGCCACAUCCCCCCGGAGAUGGCCAGCCUCUCGGAGCUCCGCCGUCUAAACCUCUCCAACAACGUCUUCAACGGCUCGUUCCCCGACGAGCUCUCCGCCGGAUUGGUGAACCUCCGGGUCCUCGAUUUGUACAACAACAACUUAACCGGAGACUUGCCCGUCUCCAUCACCAACCUGACGGAGCUCCGUCACCUCCACCUCGGCGGGAACUACUUCGCCGGAAGAAUCCCGCCGGCGUACGGAAGCUGGCCUGCUCUCGAGUAUUUAGCAGUUUCCGGCAACGAACUCGCCGGAAAAAUCCCCCCGGAGAUCGGAAACCUGACGACUCUCCGAGAGCUCUACAUCGGAUACUUCAACGCCUUCGACGGCGGUCUUCCGGCGGAGAUCGGAAACCUAUCGGAACUCCUCAGGCUCGACGCCGCGAACUGCGGGUUGAGAGGAGAGAUUCCGCCGGAGAUCGGGAGGCUUCGGAGGCUCGACACGCUCUUCCUCCAAGUAAACGCCUUCUCGGGGACGUUACCGCCGGAGCUGGGAACGAUCUCGAGCUUGAAAUCGAUGGAUCUGUCUAACAACAUGUUCACCGGAGAGAUCCCACCUCGUUUCGAGCAGCUGAGGAAUCUGACGCUAUUGAAUCUGUUCAGGAACAAGCUGUACGGCGCUAUACCGGAGUUCAUCGGCGAUAUGCCGGGGCUCGAGGUGUUGCAGCUGUGGGAGAACAACUUCACCGGAAGCAUCCCUCGGAAGCUUGGUGAGAACGGUAGGCUGGUGAUUCUUGACCUCUCCUCCAACAAACUCACGGGAACUUUGCCGCCAAAUAUGUGCUUCGGUAACCGGUUAGUGACGUUGAUCACGCUCGGCAACUUCUUGUUCGGUUCGAUCCCUGAUUCGCUUGGGAAAUGCGAGUCUUUGACCCGGAUCCGGAUGGGUCAGAAUUUCCUUAACGGGUCGAUUCCCAACGGGCUUUUCGGUUUACCCGAGUUAUCUCAAGUGGAGCUCCAAGACAAUUACCUCACGGGAGAGUUACCGUUACCGAUAAGCGGAGGAGUGUCUGUUAACCUCGGUCAGAUCAGUCUUUCGAAUAACCAACUCUCCGGUCCGUUACCGCCUGCCAUCGGGAGCUUCUCCGGCGUCCAGAAACUACUCUUGGACGGUAACAAGUUCUCCGGUGCGAUUCCCUCAGAGAUAGGGAGGCUUCAGCAGCUUUCGAAGCUGGAUUUUAGCCACAAUCUGUUCUCCGGCGGGAUCCCGCCGGAGAUCAGCCGCUGUAAGCUGCUGACGUACGUUGACCUGAGCCGUAACGAGCUCUCAGGUGAGAUCCCUAACGAGAUCACAAGCAUGAGGAUCUUGAAUUACUUGAAUGUUUCCAGAAACCAUCUCGUCGGUUCGAUCCCUGUGACGAUAUCGUCAAUGCAGAGUUUAACAUCUAUUGAUUUCUCUUACAACAACCUCUCCGGUUUGGUUCCCAGCACUGGACAGUUCGGUUACUUUAAUCACACAUCCUUCUUGGGUAACUCUGAUCUUUGCGGUCCCUAUUUGGGUCCUUGCAACCAGCCUCAUCAUGUCAGACCUCUAUCCGCUACUACAAAGCUCUUACUCGUCCUCGGGUUGCUGUUCUGUUCCAUGGUGUUUGCUAUAGCUGCCAUAGUCAAAGCCAGGUCCUUGAGAAACGCCGCCGAGUCCAAGGCUUGGAGAUUGACUGCUUUCCAGAGACUAGACUUCACUUGCGAUGACGUCUUGGUCUGUCUCAAGGAAGACAACAUCAUAGGCAAAGGCGGCGCCGGGAUUGUCUACAAAGGCGUGAUGCCUAGCGGAGACCUAGUAGCGGUCAAGAGAUUAGCUACAAUGUCGCACGGAUCUUCUCAUGAUCAUGGGUUCAACGCCGAGAUUCAGACUUUAGGUAGGAUCAGACACAGGCACAUUGUCAGGCUGCUUGGGUUUUGCGCUAACCAUGAAACCAAUCUCCUCGUGUACGAGUACAUGCCCCACGGUAGCCUUGGAGAGGUCCUUCAUGGGAAGAAAGGAGGUCAUUUGCAUUGGGACACACGUUACAAGGUUGCUCUUGAAGCAGCCAAGGGUCUUUGCUAUCUCCACCAUGACUGUUCUCCUCUGAUCGUUCACAGAGAUGUCAAAUCCAACAACAUCCUCCUAGACUCCAACUUUGAAGCUCAUGUCGCCGACUUUGGUCUUGCCAAGUUCUUACAAGACUCCGGUACUUCUGAGUGUAUGUCUGCGAUUGCCGGCUCCUACGGCUACAUCGCUCCAGAGUAUGCGUAUACGUUGAAGGUAGAUGAGAAGAGCGAUGUGUACAGCUUCGGUGUUGUUCUUUUGGAACUCGUCACCGGGAGGAAACCCGUCGGAGAAUUCGGAGACGGCGUGGAUAUCGUUCAGUGGGUGCGAAGCAUGACGGAUUCGAACAAAGAAUGUGUGCUCAAAGUUAUCGAUCAUAGACUCUCUUCUGUACCCGUCCACGAAGUAACGCACGUCUUCUACGUUGCGAUGCUUUGCGUCGAAGAACAGGCGGUGGCGAGGCCGAUGAUGAGAGAAGUCGUUCAGAUCCUCACCGAGGUCCCAAAGAUCCCUCUUUCGGAACAGCUUGCGGUGGAAUCAGACGUGACAGAGAAAUCUCCGGCAGUAGAUGAAGAAGAUCUCCUCAGUAAUUAGACUUCCCGAGGACGGGUUUAAGUUCAUGGAGGGGCAAGCGUGUCUUUUAAGCCCUCUUCUUUGAUUCGGACAAGGCAACUAACUACGAGUUCAGUCUUUACUGGUUUAAGCAACUCUUGAAGUUGUUGUUUUUUUCUGCCCAUAAAUAUUCGAGUUGCAUUACUUUUACCCUUUGAUAGAAAUUUUGAUAUGAGGCUGUGAGUUCUUGUUUUCACCUUGGUUUAUCCUUUUAGACCCAGGACCGGCUUAGAUAGGGGGGCGAGCGGUGCGACCUCUCCGGGCCCAAUCCGUUGUCCUCCUAUUUUUUAAUAGAGAAUGAUCUGAUUUGUUUUAAAAAUACAUGUAUUUUUAUAUUAAAAAUAAGAAAAAAGUUCAAUUUUUUUUA